GGGCAUUGGAGACGAUGUCCUUCAGUUAGGCUGGCCCCAGAACAGGUGCUGCAUGGCUGUCGUCAGCUCGUGUCGUGAGAUGUUGGGUUAAGUCCCGCAACGAGCGCAACCCUCGCCCUUAGUUGCCAGCAUUUAGUUGGGCACUCUAAGGGGACUGCCGGUGAUAAGCCGAGAGGAAGGUGGGGAUGACGUCAAGUCCUCAUGGCCCUUACGGGCUGGGCUACACACGUGCUACAAUGGUGGUGACAGUGGGCAGCGAGACAGCGAUGUCGAGCUAAUCUCCAAAAGCCAUCUCAGUUCGGAUUGCACUCUGCAACUCGAGUGCAUGAAGUUGGAAUCGCUAGUAAUCGCAG
rnacentral:rRNA from 1 species